AGAAGUGUUUAUUGUUAAUACUCUGUGGGGACCUCUUGGCUUGUAGCCUGACUAUAGAGAGCACUGGCUGAGUCAAAGAAGGCGCAGUCCUUCCAUCCUACUGAGGUAGUGAGUAUUCAGUUACACCGGGCUGAAGAAAACUCUACAAAAUGGCUACACACACAGCAGAGGAGGUUUAAUAGUGUCAGCAACUACAUCUUAACAGUAUCCACUUGUUACUGGAGUGCUUGUAGUAGUGCUUUCAGAUGAAGAAGGACCAGGCUUAGGACAGAGUUUACGAGAAAUUGCUGCUGCUGAGCCUGUUACGUACAGACCGUGGUACUCUGCUUCCCCUUAACUUGGAAUGCUUGAGUGGCGGUGAAAGGAGCCCACCACGUGGCACUCACAAGAGGAACCUUCAGAGAUAAAAUCCCCAAACACAUUUCUUUGAGAAAAUUAAGGGAAAAGAAGAUUCUCCUUUUAAGAGUCCUGGAUGACCCACCCCACAGAAAUGCAAGGAGCGCCACUGGAAAGGGGAGGGGCGCACAUCCUCCUCACCAGUUUCAGGAGGAUUCGGGACACCAGCAAACAGACAAGGAAGGAGUACUUACAAGAUCCUUCGUGGGAUUUCUGACUCGAAAGAAAUAAACCACCAAGGUGGUGGGUAGGAGCUCCCACACGAAAAGCACCACGCCAAACACUACGUAGCCGGCAUCACCCAGCUGGCUCUUCAGAUCUGCCUGUGCCAGAGCAAGAAGAGAGUCACGAGACUUCAUGUGUUGGAGGACAGAGAGCAGAAAACUGAAAUGCUUCCCCUAAGGCUCGCACUUUGAAACUUGGUCACAGAGAUAGGUCAGGCCUUGGAGGACGCUGGAACCCAUUUAGGAAGAUGGAUUAUGACUGGCUAUUCAUUUACUUUUGUGGUUCAGGAAUGAACCCAGAGCCCAUAUCCCAGCCCUGACUCUUAAAGGAGAACGGCUUGUCUGUCCAGAGUCAUCCUGACAUUAGACACACUCUAUUCUCCAACCCAUGAGGGCUGACCACAGGCAGGAAAAGUCCUCUGAGCAAGGCAGAGCCUAAGGGGAUGGCUAUGGAGGGAAUGUCCCAGGAUAGAGGGGAACCAGUUAUGGCAGCCUCUCAGCCCAUUACCAGGAAGAGAGCACUGAGCCACAGCCUGGUCCUCAGGCCUUUUCUAACACAUCAUGCUGAAAGCCCAGACCAGACACUGGUCCCCAGAGUGAUGAUUCUCAGGUCUCCUACUUCUAGAUCAUCACCACAGCUCAACCCUGUGUGCUCUCCUUUUCACUGAGAAGGCACAGGCACUUGAAGUCACUGAAAAAAUGAGCAUCUCAAAAGCAUCACACCCCAAGCAGAGAGUUUUUAAGCUCUUGAUUGAAAGAAAAUUGGAAGUAAUUUGUUAAAGUUGCUGUUUGAUGGAACUCCAGUUUUGAAAGAGAAAGGUCAAGUGGGUAGCAGUGAUGGUUUGAACGCAUCCAUACCAGUGCCACUGGCUGCUCUUGAAACCCCCGUGCACGAAGAACAGCUCUAUGCACAGCCACUGCUUAGGUAAGGUCUAGAAAUCCCAUGUCUGGUUUUCCCCGAAUGGUACACAUUACCUGAGCGUCCUUUCCUUGCUUUCUCCCUGCUGCACCUGUGCGACAGGCUUGGCCAGUGUUGCUAGGAAACAGUCAUAGUUUCAUCUUUUCCAGGGCUAACGUGCAUGUAGCCAUUUGGGACUUAGCUCACUGUGGUCAUUUUAUUUUUAUAUUUUUUUAAUCUUAUUGUCUUAACAAAUUAGCUCCCAUUGUGACCACUGGUGGGAUUUUAUAGCUAAACUUACACACUUUUGGGAAUUUGCUGUUUUUCUAGGUGACACUAGGGAGUGUUUGCAGAACAAUCCAGUAGAGACCCGUUUGAGGAAUUAUCUGUGUUUACACCUCACUGGGCAGUCAACUCCCACAGGCAAGGAAAAAUGCCUGCCUGCUUUUGUGCACCUAACACUGCAUGACAGCAGGCACUCGCUGCAUGCUACUAACCUGGUCCCCACUGAGGCAGCAUCUGACCACACUCCACUGCUCUGGUCCCUGUGCAGGCAGCACCUCGCCCAGUCCCCAUGUAUCUAGUCCCCACCAAUUUUGUCCCCAGUGUCGUAGCAACUCACUACAUUCCACUGAUCUGCAGCGCCUUGUCAUGUCCCACCUACCUGGUCGGAUACAUUGUACCAGUCAUAAUCAAAGGAAUGGACGUUCUUGAUCUGAGAAAAUGACAAGAUGAACAGGUUGUAGCAGGCCCGAGAGGCGUAGAGCAAGAUGACGGUGACACCAAUGGCAGUUACCUGACACACUGAUGAGCCCUGGAAGACAAAGCCAACAGGAAUGGACCAUUGCUGAUGUACCCACUGCAGGCACACUAGCUGCCUCCCUCCUUGUGUAUGUCUGUCUGUCUGUCUGUACCUGGAGCUUGCUGAUCCUCUGCCUCCUGCCUAGCACAUACUGUUGCACUCAGCUCUUAAUAUAGUUUCUGGGGGACUUGGACCCAGGUUCUU
rnacentral:lncRNA from 1 species